CCAAAACUAUUAAAAUAAAAGAAGAUCACUGAUUGGCCAAUGAACUCAGAAGUAUAGGUAGUGUGUAAUAUGAGAGGCAAGUUUUUCACUAACACCACAAGAGUCUCUGGCCCAAUGAAUGGAGUUUGAUAAUAAUCCUUGCUACAAGU